rnacentral:rRNA from 1 species
AGAGUUUGAUCCUGGCUCAGGACGAACGCUGGCGGCGUGCCUAAUACAUGCAAGUAGAACGCUGAAGAGAGGAGCUUGCUCUUCUUGGAUGAGUUGCGAACGGGUGAGUAACGCGUAGGUAACCUGCCUUGUAGCGGGGGAUAACUAUUGGAAACGAUAGCUAAUACCGCAUAACAAUGGAUGACACAUGUCAUUUAUUUGAAAGGGGCAAUUGUUCCACUACAAGAUGGACCUGCGUUGUAUUAGCUAGUAGGUGAGGUAAUGGCUCACCUAGGCGACGAUACAUAGCCGACCUGAGAGGGUGAUCGGCCACACUGGGACUGAGACACGGCCCAGACUCCUACAGGAGGCAGCAGUAGGGAAUCUUCGGCAAUGGGGGCAACCCUGACCGAGCAACGCCGCGUGAGUGAAGAAGGUUUUCGGAUCGUAAGGCUCUGUUGUAAGUCAAGAACGGGUGUGAGAGUGGAAAGUUCACACUGUGACGGUAGCUUACCAGAAAGGGACGGCUAACUACGUGCCAGCAGCCGCGGUAAUACGUAGGUCCCGAGCGUUGUCCGGAUUUAUUGGGCGUAAAGCGAGCGCAGGCGGUUUGAUAAGUCUGAAGUUAAAGGCUGUGGCUCAACCAUAGUUCGCUUUGGAAACUGUCAAACUUGAGUGCAGAAGGGGAGAGUGGAAUUCCAUGUGUAGCGGUGAAAUGCGUAGAUAUAUGGAGGAACACCGGUGGCGAAAGCGGCUCUCUGGUCUGUAACCGAUGCUGAGGCUCGAAAGCGUGGGGAGCGAACAGGAUUAGAUACCCUGGUAGUCCACGCCGUAAACGAUGAGUACUAGGUGUUGGAUCCUUUCCGGGAUUCAGUGCCGCAGCUAACGCAUUAAGCACUCCGCCUGGGGAGUACGACCGCAAGGUUGAAACUCAAAGGAAUUGACGGGGGCCCGCACAAGCGGUGGAGCAUGUGGUUUAAUUCGAAGCAACGCGAAGAACCUUACCAGGUCUUGACAUCCCGGUGCUAUUUCUAGAGAUAGAAAGUUACUUCGGUACAUCGGUGACAGGUGGUGCAUGGUUGUCGUCAGCUCGUGUCGUGAGAUGUUGGGUUAAGUCCCGCAACGAGCGCAACCCCUAUUGUUAGUUGCCAUCAUUCAGUUGGGCACUCUAGCGAGACUGCCGGUAAUAAACCGGAGGAAGGUGGGGAUGACGUCAAAUCAUCAUGCCCCUUAUGACCUGGGCUACACACGUGCUACAAUGGUUGGUACAACGAGUUGCGAGUCGGUGACGGCGAGCUAAUCUCUUAAAGCCAAUCUCAGUUCGGAUUGUAGGCUGCAACUCGCCUACAUGAAGUCGGAAUCGCUAGUAAUCGCGGAUCAGCACGCCGCGGUGAAUACGUUCCCGGGCCUUGUACACACCGCCCGUCACACCACGAGAGUUUGUAACACCCGAAGUCGGUGAGGUAACCUUUUGGAGCCAGCCGCCUAAGGUGGGACAGAUGAUUGGGGUGAAGUCGUAACAAGGUA